rnacentral:lncRNA from 1 species
CCCCCUCCUCUCUCUGUCUCCCUCCUCACUCUCUCUCUCCCUCUCCCUCUCUCUCUCUCCUUCUCACUCUCCCUCUCUCUUGGCAUCCCUCUCUCACUCCACACACAAACAUGACACUUAGCUUCAGAUUCUUCAGCUGUGAAAUAGAGAUGACACUCCCUGCCUCAUAGGUGUGUUAUGAAGAUCCAGUAAGUGGACACCUGUAAAGCACCUAGAACGCAGGACUCUGACAAGCACCUACCUAACGUGCCUCCAAUAAUGCUGACUCUACAGUCUCAUAGACUAAGACCAUUCCUAAUUCAUUUCUUUGCCUGGAGUACUCCCUGCCAACACAGACAUACAAUCGUAAAACUUAAGGUUACCUGGAGAAGAAAGUCUCAGCUUGGUGCUAUUAUGAUUUUAACAUGUCCAUUUAAAUAGACACCCCAAAGACUUUAUUUCAUUUGGU